AGUGAACGCUGGCGGCAGGCCUAACACAUGCAAGUCGAGCGGCAGCGGGUCCUUCGGGAUGCCGGCGAGCGGCGGACGGGUGAGGAAUGCGUCGGAAUCUGCCUUUUUGUGGGGGAUAACGUAGGGAAACUUACGCUAAUACCGCAUAAAAUCUAUUGAGACAUCUCAAGAGAUUGAAAGGAACAAUUGUUUCGCUCGUUGAUGAUCCCGCGUUGUAUUAGCUAGUUGGUGAAGUAAGGGCUCACCAAGGCGAUGAUACAUAGCCGACCUGAGAGGGUGAUCGGCCACAUUGGGACUGAGACACGGCCCAAACUCCUACGGGAGGCAGCAGUAGGGAAUCUUCGGCAAUGGACGAAAGUCUGACCGAGCAACGCCGCGUGAGUGAAGAAGGUUUUCGGAUCGUAAAGCUCUGUUGUUGUUAAAGAACGUUGAUGAGAGUGGAAAGUUCAUCAAGUGACGGUAAACAACCAGAAAGGGACGGCUAACUACGUGCCAGCCGCCGCGGUAACAC
rnacentral:rRNA from 1 species